rnacentral:rRNA from 1 species
AAUGAACGCUGGCGGCAGGCCUAACAUAUGCAAGUCGAACGAGGUAGCAAUACCUAGUGGCGGACGGGUGAGUAACGCGUGGGAACGUGCCCCUUGGUACGGAAUAGCCCUGGGAAACUGGGAGUAAUACCGUAUGUGGUCGAGAGACGAAAGAUUUAUCGCCAAGGGAUCGGGCCGCGUUGGAUUAGGUAGUUGGUGGGGCAAUGGCCUACCAAGCCGACGAUACAUAGCUGGUUUGAGAGGAUGAUCAGCCACACUGGGACUGAGACACGGCCCAGAAUCCUACGGGGGGGAGCAGUGGGGGAUGUUAGAGAAUGGGGGAAACCCUGAUCUAGCCAUGCCGCGUGAUCGAUGAAGGCCUUAGGGUUGUAAAGAUCUUUCAGUGGGGAAGAUAAUGACGGUACCCACAGAAGAAGCCCCGGCUAACUCCGUGCCAGCCGCCGCGGUAA